GCAAAUCGCAUUGUUUCCCCCCCCCCCUAUCUUACAAAUAUAAGCAGACCUUAAUCAAAGCCAUGAAAAGUGUGAAGCUCAGACAGACCAGCCAACUUCUGCACAAUAAGUUUGAGGUUGUCCUUGGUGGCUCAGUGCAACGCUCGAUGUACAAAUAACUUGUCUUGCUGCUUCAAAAGGACAAGUACCUGACCCCUGCACAGCUGAAGUCCAAGGGGGAGGUCUGUUGUGAGCAAGAUCGCUUGGUGGAGAGGGGCACCAAUGGCCCUACGACCAACAGCACAUAAUACCGGGAGGUGCGCCAGUACUGGUCGGACCGCCAUCUGGUCAGAUUUUACUUCCUGACCUAGAUCUACUCACCGUACAUGCAGAGCAUCCUGUCAGACCUCUGCCACGGCCUCAAGCCUGAUGUCAACCUCGUCAACUCCUGUAUCUGGAACAUCUCCAGCACCACCUAUGCUACAGGAAGGACCCGCCCACUUCCACAGAGAGCAGGAGUGGUCCAAUGACAGUGGUCUUGGCCCACGUUACCACAACAACUUCCAUCGGCCCCCUGCCCCCCACCAUGACGUGCACCAGCCUCAUCCAAUCAUCGGCUAUCCAGGGUACCAGAACGUUAAUGAUGGAGUUUUUGGUGGACAGCCUCCCUUCAACCCCUGCACCCCCAGGUCCUACGCUCCCCCAGAUCAAUGGGCAGAGGAACCUCAGGACAUGACAUGGAGGCACCAUGCCGGUCAGGCCAACGCAAGGGUUCAUCCCUACUGCACACGCACUCCCCAGGCCACACACACAAGGAUGUAAGGUAUAUUCACUGACAUCAUUGACCACACCAAGCCCAGACAAAAUGUUUGAAAUGAUUGCUAAAAACACUGAGAUAAAGAUGAUCUGCUUUUGCUAACUCGAAGUAACCUUGAAGUAUAGUAAAUAAUAAUAAUAAUAGUAGGUUAUGGAUUAAAAAUAAUUUUGCACUUGAUAUGCAGUGUCAUCUAAUCUUUUUCAUAGUUCUGUCAUAUUGUAUGUGAAUACUGACCUUAAGUCAUAGGUUUCUGUAUAUCCCUCCACUUACCUCUUAACCUUCUAAAACACUGAGGAGUGGGAAAAACAUACCUCCCGCCCCAGCCUCCCUCAAACAGGCCCGCCGUGGCAACCAUUAAAGAGCAACCUUAUCGUUAUUCAUAUCACCCAACCUAUGGAGUGCUCCCUUUACUUGACCAAGCGCCUUGCAAGCCAAUCAGGCGACCGCCUUGAUAUCUGCAAAUCAGCCUG